rnacentral:lncRNA from 1 species
AUAAUAUGCCUGCCAUACAGGGUUCCUAGGAUUAAAGGAGGAUUCUCUGUAUAUUAUGUAGCUCCAGAAAAAAAGAGGCAUAUUAUUGACUCCUACAAUUGAAUCAAAGUAGACUACACAAGGCAGAGCCUAAACUAAGCAGGGGUUUCAGAGGUGCCGCUGACAACCUGUGUGUCCAGCACGUGAGCCAGUUGAGAAAUCCAGAAGCUCUGGGUCGCAAGCUGGAAAUGCUGGGCCAGAGGUCAUUACGGUGCUGACAGUUCCUCUCCCCUCUUCCUCGUUCCUCUCCUUCAGCCUUGCUGAUCGCAGCUCGAGGAGUCAGGGGAGCCAAAGCUGAACCUUAGUGGAUCCUCAGAUUCCCAUAUAUCUAUCUCUGAACUUCAGCCUCCCUUCCUGUUUUCAACACUGACUUGUUGACUUCUUAUCUACCCACGGUUGGGAUCCACAGCCCACUGCUUAGAACUGACACAGUUCUGGAGUAGGGGCCAGGAGGAUGGAGGAGGCAGGCUGUGGUGCACAGGUGUACUUGGACCUGGGCGUGGAAGGAGGGCCACGGAAGAUAAUGCCACAAAUCACCAAUACUAAGGAAAACAGAAAGUCCCACCCUUUGGAGCCCUGAUCAUCCCGGACACCAGCUGCAGAGCUCUGCUUUCUGUUGAUGUACUGGCGAUAAUUGCACCCUGCCCAGCACUCAGUGUCCUGGACAUCCACCAGCUCUUUGGAGAGGAGUUUCCCAGAUGGUCUCUAACUGAUCAAUCAGGCUCCUUGUCAUUGCGAGACCCUUCCCCCGUGUCUUCCUCCCUGCUGUGCCAGUGAAAAACAAGGUAAGACACUAAUCUGUUAUGUGGCCAACAGAGAGCCACCAGAAAGGCCAGUGUUCAUUUGCUUUCUUUUCUGUAAAAUUUACAUUUUAGAAGGGUCAUAUCUCAUGAAGACAAAAGUAGAUCACUAAUGCAUUUGAUUGUUACCAGAAAAGGAAAGCCACUUCUUUCUAAGUGGUUUAAAUCAGAUUUGGGUCAUUUUUAAAGAAACAUAAAAUAGUAAAUGAUGAUGAUGUAAGAGCAACUAUUUACAUUUUAAGUGCCAUUUUAAAAAAUAUAUGACCCAACUCUUGGGUAUAUUUGCUUUAAAAAGCUGGCCGAAAACAAAUCAAUAGUAUGUAAAAACUAAGUGCUACUUCCAUGCAGCGAUUAGAACGCUUACCGUAGAC